UACGAAGGGGGCUAGCGUUGUUCGGAAUCACUGGGCGUAAAGCGCACGUAGGCGGAUCGUUAAGUCGGGGGUGAAAUCCCCGGGCUCAACCCGGGAACUGCGUCCGAUACUGGGAGGCUUGAAUCCGGGAGAGGGAUGUGGAAUUCCAGGUGUAGCGGUGAAAUGCGUAGAUAUCUGGAGGAACACCGGUGGCGAAGGCGGCAUCCUGGACCGGUAUUGACGCUGAGGCGCGAAAGCCAGGGGAGCAAACGGG
rnacentral:rRNA from 1 species